rnacentral:rRNA from 1 species
UGGGGAAUAUUGCACAAUGGGCGCAAGCCUGAUGCAGCCAUGCCGCGUGUGUGAAGAAGGCCUUCGGGUUGUAAAGCACUUUCAGCGAGGAGGAAGGGUUCAGUGUUAAUAGCACUGUUCAUUGACGUUACUCGCAGAAGAAGCACCGGCUAACUCCGUGCCAGCAGCCGCGGUAAUACGGAGGGUGCAAGCGUUAAUCGGAAUUACUGGGCGUAAAGCGCACGCAGGCGGUUUGUUAAGUCAGAUGUGAAAUCCCCGCGCUUAACGUGGGAACUGCAUUUGAAACUGGCAAGCUAGAGUCUUGUAGAGGGGGUAGAAUUCCAGGUGUAGCGGUGAAAUGCGUAGAGAUCUGGAGGAAUACCGGUGGCGAAGGCGGCCCCCUGGACAAAAGACUGACGCUCAGGUGCGAAAGCGUGGGGAGCAAAACAGGAUUAGAUACCCUGGUAGUCCACGCUGUAAAACGAUGUCGACUUGGAGGUUGUGCCCUUGAGGCGUGGCUUCCGGAGCUAACGCGUUAAGUCGACCGCCUGGGGGAGUACGGCCGCAA